rnacentral:tRNA from 1 species
AAUCAAUUAAAUCAAUUGCUUAGGUUAAGAUGCGCGGUUUCCUAAACCGUAGGUCAGGGGUUCGAAUCCCUUCCGGGACGCCA